CCUACGGGGGGCAGCAGUGGGGAAUAUUGGACAAUGGGGGCAACCCUGAUCCAGCCAUGCCGCGUGUGUGAAGAAGGCCCUCGGGUUGUAAAGCACUUUCAGUGAGGAAGAACGCCUGGUGGUUAAUACCCAUCAGGAAAGACAUCACUCACAGAAGAAGCACCGGCUAACUCCGUGCCAGCAGCCGCGGUAAUACGGAGGGUGCGAGCGUUAAUCGGAAUUACUGGGCGUAAAGCGCGCGUAGGUGGCUUGAUAAGCCGGUUGUGAAAGCCCCGGGCUCAACCUGGGAACGGCAUCCGGAACUGUCAAGCUAGAGUGCAGGAGAGGAAAGUAGAAUUCCCGGUGUAGCGGUGAAAUGCGUAGAGAUCGGGAGGAAUACCAGUGGCGAAGGCGGCCUUCUGGACUGACACUGACACUGAGGUGCGAAAGCGUGGGUAGCAAACAGGAUUAGAUACCCCAGUAGUC
rnacentral:rRNA from 1 species